AUUGAACGCUGGCGGCAGGCCUAACACAUGCAAGUCGAGCGGAGCGGCAGACGGGUGGGUAAUGCCUAGGAAUCUGCCUGGUAGUGGGGGAUAACGUCCGGAAACGGGCGCUAAUACCGCAUACUAUCAGAUGAGCCUAGGUCGGAUUGGCUAGCUGGUGGGGUAAAGGCCUUCCAGGGCGACGAUCCGGAACUGGUAUGAGCGGAUGAUCAGUAACACUGGAACUGAUACACGGUCCAGACUCCUACGGGAGGGAGCAGUGGGGAAGAUUGGACAAUGGGCGAAAGCCGGAUCCAGCCAGUCCGGGGGUGUUAAGAAGGGCGUUGGAUUGUAAAGCACUUUAAGUUGGGAGGCGGUACCAACAGAAUAAGCACCGGCUAACUUCGUGCCAGCCGCCGCGGUAAUAC
rnacentral:rRNA from 1 species